rnacentral:lncRNA from 1 species
CCCGUCAAAACCCGUUGGUCAGAAUAAAGGUGACCAGGGGGUUUUUGAUCAAUUCCAAUGCACAAAUUCCAUAUUGCAAGUUUUCAAACAUUUACAUGUAGACAUUAUAUCAUCCUUAAUGAUUUCUCCUUCUGCCCUCUCAGGGAUGCCAUUCCAUGCCUGACCUACAGAGGGAGACACUGCUGGAGGAGCUGGAGAUAACGCUGCUUGAUCGGCCUCCAACCUCUCCAAGGUUGGGCUGUUACAAAGUACCCUUACAACAUACCAAUUACAGUGUCUAUGUGCAAGAGUAAUAGGAACUGAAACUCAUUUGUGUUUUUAGAUUAUUACAGGAGAGUGAAUACGAGGAUGACGGUAACUGUGAGACAGAUCUGUGCUCGCUUAUAGAAUCCCUGACCUGCUAUAGUUCCAGCAGACUCCAAAGGCUCAAGCAAAAACUACAGGUACAGGAAUAAACUCACUGCAGACAGAAUUAUGUGCAAGACCUAUGACGCCUGGAAAUCAAACUUUAAAGAUGGGUGUUUCUUUUUAGAAAAUGAUGGAGGAAGAUGAAGAAGCACAAAGUUCUUGUGAAGAAACCUCUGCACCCACAAGGAGACGUGGUCAGUGUGGGGUUUUCUCCUCAAAUCAUCAUGCGCACAGCAGUGGCCCGAGUGUCCGAUAGAGUUCUCCCAGAGGCCAUCAAAGUCAGCAUGUACCCACCAGUCUACAAUGACCUUACUAAAGAGAUUGAUUCAGCAUCGGUCGCUCUGAUGGAUCAGAACUUGGUUGAAGAAAAUAUGGCAAUAAGCAAAGUCUUUGAAGAAUUAUCCAAAAGUAUUUCAACAAAGUAUUUCAACUUUGAUGAGGUAAGUUGAUUAAGAGCUUGAGGAUUAGCUGUAGUAUUUUCAAAUGUAGAUGUUUUAUGGGUGAAGUUUCACAGCAUCCUCAUAUUAUGAAGUUAAUAAGAAUAUUAAAAGCCGCUUUCGAUCUUUUGAAGGACCCCAGGAUUGAGCCUGCCCUGACAAAUGCCACAUGCUGCCCAAAAAGAGUAAUUAACAACAAACUAAUCAACCCAUCACUCAGGAGGCCAAACCCAUACGGCAUAUCCCACAGGUGCUCUCUUCUUUCUUAUUAUUUACUUUUACU